rnacentral:lncRNA from 1 species
GGUCUCUGGGCUACAAUGAAAAGAGGAAACAGAUACUAGGAUAUUUUUUAAGACAGCUGUUUGAUUUCUUCUCAAAAUCACUGCUGCCUUCUGAGCUUUCCUCUUGCUCCUGUGAGUAAGGGGAGGAGUCUGUUUUAUACCUGCAUGUGCCAGAUGUGAGAACUGUGUGUCAUCGUGAUAUCAUGCCUAUUAACCCAAGUGAGACCUCCAAGGAAGGAGAUGCCAAGUAGUGCUUCAAAGCUUCGGACCACAAUCAAACACAGCAUCCUUUUCAACAGAAGCAGAAGCUCAUCUGAAUAUGCUCAUGGAUGCUGACAUCAACAUUUAAUCAUCUCCUCACUCAUCCAGGAAGAGGGGGAGAUCAGUUACUACUGUACUUUAUUGUGUUCAACCAAAUCACCAUGUUACAAAAAUAGCAAGCUGCCAUAAUAAAAAA